rnacentral:lncRNA from 1 species
GAGUCUGCCAAAGAAAACCAAUCAAAUGAUAGCAUGGCGUCAACAUCAACUUUAGCUAGUUUAUCAGCAUGAUACAGUACUGUAUGUAGAUGGUGGAAAUUAAGAGUACUUUACUAAAAUACAACAUAAAGUACAACUUAUUCUUCUUUUAUUAGCUUCCAAAGGCUUCCAUUAGGCAUAUUAGUCUUAAACAAGGCAAAUGAUGUAGUACAGAGUUGCUAGCUGCUAAACCGUAGCGGCUAGUCCUGUAUGCUAACGUCGGCUAGAAUCGGCUGAGCUCGUCGUCCUGAGGAACACGCGUGGACGGGGCAGACUGUUCAGCCCAGAAAAAACCUCCAUAGGAUUAAAGGCCAGAGGAAAUGACCUGCUUACUGAUCACAUCACCCUUCUGACAGACCCGGGAUCAGCCGUCUACUUCAUACAGAAUGUAAAUAUCGGGAAAUGGCUGUGAACUCCACCACCUCCUUCGUAGACUGUCCUCCGUGAAUCAAGUUAAAGUGCAACAGCACAACCUGGUGGAGUGAACUCACUUUUCUUUAUGUCUUCUCUAGAGGGGCUGAUGUUCAACGCGUUGUCAAAGUGCUUCAUGCAGCACAAACUGUUCCUCAGCCGUGCGUUUCUGGCAGAUGACUCAUUAAGACGGGAUGUUUUUUUUUAAUUUUCCCAACAGCUAACUGAUGAGGUGAUACAUGCUGUAAUGGGGCAUCCAUAAAAUUGCAGCUGCAGGACCAGUAAAGUGUGAGAGAGAGUUUUGAUUUGAUGUAUUUAGUAAAAUGAAAUAUGCACAAAAAAUAAAGACAUUUUUGCUCUUUCA